rnacentral:rRNA from 1 species
AUUGAACGCUGGCGGCAGGCCUAACACAUGCAAGUCGCACGAGUGGCGGACUGGUGUGUAAUGUCCGGGUAACUGCCUGAUGGCGGGGGAUAACUACUGGAAACGGUAGUUAAUACCGCAUACCAUCAGAUGUGCCCAGAUGGGAUUAGCUCGUUGGUGGGGUAACGGCUCACCAAGGCGACGACCCCUACCUGGUCCGAGAGGAUGACCGGCCACACUGGAACUGAGACACGGGCCAGACUCCUACGGGAGGCAGCAGUGGGGAAUAUUGCAAAAUGGGCGCAAGCCGGAUACAGCCAUGCCGCGUGUAUGAAGAAGGCCUUCGGGUUGUAAAGUACUUUCGGCGGGGAGGCGUUACCCGCAGAAGAAGCACCGGCUAACUCCGUGCGAGCAGCCGCGGUAAUAG